GACGAACGCUGGCGGCGUGCUUAACACAUGCAAGUCGAACGAAGAGCGAUGGAAGCUUGCUUCUAUCAAUCUUAGUGGCGAACGGGUGAGUAACGCGUAAUCAACCUGCCCUUCAGAGGGGGACAACAGUUGGAAACGACUGCUAAUACCGCAUACGAUCUAAUCUCGGCAUCGAGGAUAGAUGAAAGGUGGCCUCUACAUGUAAGCUAUCACUGAAGGAGGGGAUUGCGUCUGAUUAGCUAGUUGGAGGGGUAACGGCCCACCAAGGCGAUGAUCAGUAGCCAGUCUGAGAGGAUGAACGGCCACAUUGGGACUGAGACACGGCCCAGACUCCUACGGGAGGCAGCAGUGGGGAAUCUUCCGCAAUGGACGAAAGUCUGACGGAGCAACGCCGCGUGAGUGAUGACGGCCUUCGGGUUGUAAAGCUCUGUUAAUCGGGACGAAAGGCCUUCUUGCGAAUAGUGAGAAGGAUUGACGGUACCGGAAUAGAAAGCCACGGCUAACUACGUG
rnacentral:rRNA from 1 species